AACGAACGCUGGCGGCAGGCCUAACACAUGCAAGUCGAACGCCCUAGCAAUAGGGAGUGGCAGACGGGUGAGUAACACGUGGGAACCUUCCCUAUAGUACGGAAUAGCCCAGGGAAACUUGGAGUAAUACCGUAUACGCCCGAGAGGGGAAAGAUUUAUCGCUAUAGGAUGGGCCCGCGUAGGAUUAGCUAGUUGGUGAGGUAAUGGCUCACCAAGGCAACGAUCCUUAGCUGGUUUGAGAGAAUGACCAGCCACACUGGGACUGAGACACGGCCCAGACUCCUACGGGAGGCAGCAGUGGGGAAUCUUGGACAAUGGGCGCAAGCCUGAUCCAGCCAUGCCGCGUGAGUGAUGAAGGCCUUAGGGUUGUAAAGCUCUUUUGCCGGGGACGAUAAUGACGGUACCCGGAGAAUAAGUCCCGGCUAACUUCGUGCCAGCAGCCGCGGUAACAC
rnacentral:rRNA from 1 species